GGCACAGAACGGCUGCAUCUGAAGGUGAUUUAACACAGGAAAACUUGCAGGCCUUGUGAGGAGUAACUCAAGAUGGAGGAUGUGGAUUACUCCGAUGUCUGAGAAUUGAGCCUUGGAGGGGCUGAGGGACUCGCCAUGCAGGAAGAGGGUGUCUGGGUAGUGAGUGAGCCUGGCCAGGCAAUCUCAGGGCUCCCCAGGCCACAUCUCACAAUAGGUAUUGGGUACACACUACUUCCACCCUGAAUCCUCACUGGCAGCCUCCCUGGUCCCCAACAAACAGAUGUAGUCAUGGCAUCUGCAUUCAUUGUUCAAGAGAAAUCUCUCUCCAUAGUGGAUCACAGACUAACACUUAUUAUGACCUGUUUAGAGAGAAUGAAAAAACUACCAGGCAAGUUACAGAGAGAAACAAAAUUCCUUCCGGGGAGGUUUACUCCCUGAGCCAGCCCACUGGCAGAAGGGAUCCUGCCAUUGUUCAGCUGAUACCCCAUCCUGGCACUUCCCGAAUGCUUAUCCUUUCUCUGGCAAGUUAACUCUAGGCAGCAGCAUCUCCAAGUCCCACCUUCAUCUGAAGAGAUCAGAUCACUUUUCUUCGAUUGAAAUAGGCAUGCAAUUCUGACAAACAUAAGACUUGGGAGAGGGGUCAGUUUCUACAAAGCCAUGUUGAGUGUCUGUAUUAGUUGUAUUGGGAGAGCUUUUGCCCAUGAGGUAUUUCUUUUUGUUUUGAGUUUUCAUCCUGUUUAUUUUAGGAAAAUAAAGAUUGACUAGCCAGGUGCACCUCUCAUCCUAAAGAAA
ensembl:lncRNA novel transcript